rnacentral:rRNA from 1 species
CCCAACUUCGGUUAUAAGAUCCCUCAAAGAUGAUGAGGUUAAUAGGUUCGAGGUGGAAGCAUGGUGACAUGUGGAGCUGACGAAUACUAAUCGAUCGAAGACUUAAUCAA